rnacentral:tmRNA from 1 species
GGGGCUGCUAUGGUUUCGACAGAAAUGUUAGUCUUUAGAUUGCAAGUCGAAGGUACGCGUUAAGUACAAAAUAAAAUAACUGGAAACAGAAAUCAAUUAGCUUUCGCUUAAGAUAAAAUAGCAAGCUGCUUCUUUUAAAUUUUUUCUCACGAAAUUUUUAAGAGGCUCGAUUUAGUGAGAUAUAUUAUAACUUAGCUUGGAAGUUAUAAUGAAUAUUACAAGCUAGCUAAUAAUUAAUUUGUCAAUUAGUUGGUUAUUAGUUAAAUUUUAAUUGACUAAACUUGUAGUAAUUUACUGAAAGGCAUUUUUGGACAGGAGUUCAAUUCUCCUCAGCUCCACCA